GCCUCCGUGGCCUAAUGGAUAAGGCAUCGGUUUUCUAAACCGGGGAUUGUGGGUCGAGUCCCACCGGAGGUG
rfam:Strongylocentrotus purpuratus Contig95245_fixed, whole genome shotgun sequence.